rnacentral:lncRNA from 1 species
AGAAAGUGGGUUGUAAGCAUCUACAGCCUCAAAUGCUCCCGAAUCUAUAGUCUGAAGUGACGUGGCGCUGUGCAGACCAGUGCUCUCAACGAUUUCCCUCAGACCCCGGUUCACCUGGCUUCACCCCCUGAACAUCAUUCCAGCUGAGCAGACAGCAGUGGCUACUGUGGGUGAGGGCAGGCAAACGCACGCGUCUUGGAAUUACAGACGCAGUACACACCAUUGACCUAGACUUUGAGGGCAGACUUUAGAGACCAUGAAGCUGACCUUCCUGGGUAAGGGGUGAGAGACCCUAAGUCUGGGAGAAAGAAUGCCGAAACAAAAAGAUCGAUGGCUCCUAAGAUGACGAAGUGGUCAAGGGCUCCAGUCCUCCAUGUGCAAGAUGGCUGUAAUACAGCACUCCCCCCACCCCCCAACCCCGGGAAGCUGUGUUGAGGAUUAAAUGAGGCAUUGUAAAGAAAGAACUCAGCCCAGGAUGCAGCACUUAAGCUGAUGCUAAAUCAUCAUUAUCAUAACAAUCCUAUUACGAUCUGAAGCCUAUUUAAACAAAAAUGUUUCCUCCCAGUUCU